GCUCAGUUGGUUAAGCGUCCAACUCCUGAUUUCAGAUCAGGUCAUGAUCUUGAAGUUUGUGGGAUCAAGCCCCACAUCAGGCU
rnacentral:tRNA from 1 species